GUAUGUAUGGGAAAUAUGUACAGCACUAAAAAAAGUUUCAGUGUAAAAAACAGCUUCUAUAAACCAAAGUGGUCGUAUUUAGUGUGACCUUCCUUUUACACUUAACAUGUCUUUAAUCCUUUUUUCAGAUAGUAUGAAAUUUAUGGCAUUCAC